rnacentral:tRNA from 1 species
CAGAUGAUGAUCCUAAGCCUUCUGGUGAUCUGUUUACACAAGCCUCUGAAGGGGGAUGGAAGACAUGUUUCCUUUAAUCAGAUUACGUCGGUGAAGGUUUUCUGAUUUACCCCGUAGGGGCUUGUAGCUCAGUUGGUUAGAGCGCGCGCUUGAUAAGCGUGAGGUCGGAGGUUCAAGUCCUCCCAGGCCCACCAGUUACACUCUGCUGAAAGUUGCUGUGAUUAGUUGAGAGUUGCUCUAUUGGGAGAGUUGAUAAUCCCUUAAAGGAAAUUUGUAGCCCUUAUAAAACUUUGUUUUUAAGGAUAUUUAGAGUAUGCAAGAGAAAUUGUUUUUCUGUCAUUUAAAAAGACUAAAAUAUCUAAGAUAUUAAGAUAUGUUGUCUCUAUUUUUUAAAAAUAUCAGGUGUUUUAUAAAAGCAUUAACUAUUUUGUAAAAGUGUGACGUUUUUUAUAACAACAUGUGUGAGGGCUUUUUUAGCUAUUUGGGGGCCGUAGCUCAGCUGGGAGAGCACCUGCUUUGCAAGCAGGGGGUCGUCGGUUCGAUCCCGUCCGGCUCCACCAUACUAUAGUUCAUCAUCCUUGUUAGAAGAGUAGUUAUUGCAGGAGAUUGAUAGGUCUCUUUGCCUGUUCUAUUGAAU